AUGCGGAUUCCGCGCCGCCCCGGCUCGUGCUGCUUGAGGCGACCGCCACCCUCACCACCGCCCGUGCACAGGCGGCGCCGGCAGCCGCCGCUCGCGCCCGCUCCCCGGGGCCGCCUCACUGGCUCCCCCCUCCCUCCCUCCCUCCCUCUCUCCCUCUCUCCCUCCUCCUCCUCUGGCACCUCCUCUUCAUCCGCUGCUCCUCCCGAGAUCUGGGACUAUGCGGAGCGCGCGCGGGAGUCGAGACGCCCGGCCCGUGCGCGCGACUGGGAGGAGGGAGGAGGCGACGGUCACGUGGGGCAGGGGCGUCCGAAGGUGCCGGCUCGGAUCGGCUCGGCGCUGGGCCGCCGCCACUACGCCUGGGCCUCGCGGCUUCCCCACCCUAGUCCCGCAGCCGCCGGCCCCCGCCCCAUACACCGCGCCCGCCCGGGUGUGCGCGCCGCUGAAGGCCCCCAGACCGGAGCUGUAUGCCGAGUUGUUUCUGCUUCCAUGACCAAGUUGCUGGCAGAACUCAAAUCCAAGUCUUCCAGGACCUUUUCAUUAUUCCACAAGAAAUCCAACUUAGGAAGUUGCACGGCUAGGAAAAAGUCAUACAUCAUUGUAGUGGAUGCUAUGGAACGCUACCAAGAUCUGCCCCCACCCCUAUCCCACUGCCCAAGACUGAAGCAGCCAUUCCUCCAGCUGCUGGGAGCGUUGGCAGCUGGCGGCUCCCAUAUGAGUCAGCCUUUGGGAUUUGCCUUCAUCUGUAGAGAUUCACUGCACCCAAGGUCAUGCCGCUUUUCUGGGGCAGCCUAG
rnacentral:lncRNA from 1 species